rnacentral:rRNA from 1 species
AUUGAACGCUGGCGGCAGGCUUAACACAUGCAAGUCGAGCGGGGUGAUGGUGCUUGCACUAUCACUCAGCGGCGGACGGGUGAGUAAUGCUUAGGAAUCUGCCUAUUAGUGGGGGACAACAUCUCGAAAGGGAUGCUAAUACCGCAUACGUCCUACGGGAGAAAGCAGGGGAUCACUUGUGACCUUGCGCUAAUAGAUGAGCCUAAGUCGGAUUAGCUAGUUGGUGGGGUAAAGGCCUACCAAGGCGACGAUCUGUAGCGGGUCUGAGAGGAUGAUCCGCCACACUGGGACUGAGACACGGCCCAGACUCCUACGGGAGGCAGCAGUGGGGAAUAUUGGACAACGGGGGGAACCCUGAUCCAGCCAUGCCGCGUGUGUGAAGAAGGCCUUAUGGUUGUAAAGCACUUUAAGCGAGGAGGAGGCUCUUUUGGUUAUUACCCAAGAUGAGUGGACGUUACUCGCAGAAUAAGCACCGGCUAACUCUGUGCCAGCCGCCGCGGUAA